rnacentral:misc_RNA from 1 species
AAAGUGCGACAAGUGUCAUGACUUGCAGAUACCCGAGAGCUGACAAAUUUCUGAAUGCAAAUUGCAGCCAUGUUAACCUGGCUAUGGAUUGCAGAGAGUACUUCGCUUAUGCGCUUCAUCCAGAGAUGUUUGACAUUUCUGGGACAUGCGAUUGCGCGAUUUUCUGCCCUUUCUUUCUUUUAAGGAAGGGCACACCCCAAACGCCCCACGCACGCAUGCACGUUCCGUGUGUGUGAGUGUGUGGUGUUUCCGCGAUCGUCAAAGGAAGAAGACUUUCGAGUUUUCCUGAAAACCAUUUCCGAGACGAAAAGAUUCGCUCUUUCUCUUCUCAACCCUCACCUCUGCAAUACAGGAGAACCCGCUGAACUUAA